rnacentral:rRNA from 1 species
GAUCCUGGCUCAGAUUGAACGCUGGCGGCAGGCCUAACACAUGCAAGUCGAGCGGGGUUUCGGACCUAGCGGCGGACGGGUGAGUAAUGCGUAGGAAGCUACCCGAUAGAGGGGGAUACCAGUUGGAAACGACUGUUAAUACCGCAUAAUGUCUACGGACCAAAGUGUGGGACCUUCGGGCCACAUGCUAUCGGAUGCGCCUACGUGGGAUUAGCUAGUUGGUGGGGUAAUGGCUCACCAAGGCGACGAUCCCUAGCUGGUUUGAGAGGAUGAUCAGCCACACUGGAACUGAGACACGGUCCAGACUCCUACGGGAGGCAGCAGUGGGGAAUAUUGGACAAUGGGCGCAAGCCUGAUCCAGCCAUGCCGCGUGUGUGAAGAAGGCCUUCGGGUUGUAAAGCACUUUCAGCGAGGAGGAAGAGUUAGUAGUUAAUAGCUGCUAACUUUGACGUUACUCGCAGAAGAAGCACCGGCUAACUCUGUG